rnacentral:lncRNA from 1 species
AUGUUUACUGUUAUUGACGGAGCGAGAGACAGAGCAAGACAGAGAGACACAGACAGAGUCACAGACAGAGAGACACAGACAGAGAGACACAGACAGAGAGACACAGACAGAGAGUCAGAAAGAGAGACACAGACAGAGUCAGAAAGAGAGACACAGACAGAGUCAGAAAGAGAGACACAGACAGAGUCAGAAAGAGAGACACAGACAGAGUCAGAAAGAGAGACACAGACAGAGUCAGAAAGAGAGACACAGACAGAGUCAGAAAGAGAGACACAGACAGAGAGUCAGACAGAGAGUCACAUACAGAGAGACACAGACAGAGAGUCAGACAUAGUCAGACAGAGAGACACAGACAGAGAGACACAGACAGAGAGUCAGACAGAGAGACACAGACCGAGUCAGACAGAGAGAGACAGACAGAGAGACACAGACAGAGAGUCAGACAGAGAGACAGACAGAGAGUCAGAAAGAGAGACACAGACAGAGAGUCAGAAAGAGAGACACAGACAGAGAGUCACAGACAGAGAGUCAGACAUAGUCAGACAGAGAGUCACAGACAGAGAAUCAGACAGAGAGACAGACAGAGAGACACAGACAGAGUCAGAGAGACACAGACAGAGAGUCAGACAGAGUCAGACAGAGUCACAUAGAGAGAGACACAGACAGAGAGUCAGACAGAGAGACCUAGACAGAGUCAGACAGAGUCACAUACAGAGAGACACAGACAGAGAGUCAGACAUAGUCAGACAGAGAGACACAGACAGAGAGACACAGACCGAGUCAGACAGAGAGACACAGACAGAGAGUCAGACAGAGAGACACAGACAGAGAGUCAGACAGAGAGACACAGACAGAGAGUCAGACAGAGAGACACAGACAGAGAGUCAGACAGAGAGACACAGACAGAGAGUCAGACAGAGAGACACAGACAGAGAGUCAGACAGAGAGACACAGAGAGAGACACAGACAGAGAGACACAGACAGAGAGACACAGACAGAGAGUCAGACAGAGAGUCACAUACAGAGAGACACAGACAGAGAGUCAGACAUAGACAGAGAGUCACAGACAGAGAGACACAGACAGAGAGUCAGACAGAGUCAGACAGAGAGUCACAUACAGAGAGACACAGACAGAGUCAGACAUAG